AUGAACAUGGACUUCUUGUGCCCCAAAAGAAAAGACAGAAAGCUCCUAAAAUGAGCAAAUAAGCUGUGCAUCAUCUCUGGUGUUUGGGAAGGAAAUGACUGAAUAUGGUGAGUACUGACACCUGCAACUGUAUUCACCAACACUAUUACUCUAGAAUGGUUAUUGCUGUUAUUGCUGACUUAUUGUUUUGUCUGUUUGUUUGAAUUAAGAUGAAGCCAAUUGAUGAAGAUAUCAAUUGAAUGGCCACCGAGUGCAUCACUGCUACCUGAACCCAUCAGUUAUCUUCUGUGAAGACUGCAUUCACAAACCGCUCUACUGCGACAGCUCAGAUGUUACGGCCUGCAAAGUAAACAUCACAGCUAAACAACGAGAGCUAGUUGUGGUGGGAUUCUUUUGGCCAAUGUCCCCAACAAGAAUCAAUGACAUCUAGACCAGGUGGAGUGUGAGGAGGACCGUCAGAGACUCCAGCCAGCCGAGCCAUGGAUUGCUCUCACUGUUACCAUCAGGCAGACGUUAUCACAGAACCUACACCAGCAGACAGUGAGACAAGUUCCUUUCACAGGCAAUCAGA